rnacentral:sRNA from 1 species
GUCCCGUGCCGUCCUCCCGAGGCAGUGCCGUACUCCUCGUGAGCACGGACCAGCGGCGGUUGGACCGGAGCCACAAGGCGGCGGAGGAAGGUGAGUCGACACGGGCCCGUCCUGUGUCGACAGCUUACAGCCCCSUCGUACGGCGCUCCGGCCCGACCGAGGAAGAUGGGCAGCCCUUGCCCAUGGUGGCACACGCCGAAUGGCGGGGCCUCCCGACACGAGUGAACGGUGCGGUGUGGACUGCACGCAGUGCAAACCGUGGCCGUGAUCUCGCGGCGGUGAGUGUCACCUGUGUGCCAGUGCUGCUGGUAUUCAGACGGCCUCGUCCGA